GUGAGAGAAAUUCCCUGGCUUGUUUCCCCUGCUGCCUGUAUAUCAUCCUAGCAGCCGGAGUAGCAGUUUGCUUUGAUUUGGGAGUCCAUUACACCAUGAUAAUAUGAUUGCUUCAAGGAACAUGUUCUGAACAAGAGUAAGGGAUUUAAGAAACUGAAGACAGAAAGUAUCCACAGAAUCAUGGAGAAGCAUGUGGAAUACAAACACAGGAAGGAGACAAGAAGAUCUGGAUAACGUGCCAGUAUUCUGAAGAUGAAGUGUGAGAAUUCAGACUUCUUCAACCUGAGGAGAAUAAAUGCAUAGUUCCUGUAUGUUUUUCUAUUACGAAACCAAAACAUGGGGUUGCUACUCUCUAAUUCAGCUACAGCUGAAGCUGCCUUUGUGUGUUUCUCAUAGGUUUUCUGUUUGGUUUUGGUAAGCAAUAACUUGGUUACUCAACUGACCAUUUCCCCCAUUAUUCAGGUGAGCACAUCCAGAGUCUCCUAAUGCAAAAAAAAAAAUAUUGCAAAGUAAAGCAAUGCACAAUAGCUUGCUUUGAAUACCUAAGUUUUAAGGAAUAAGUGCUUUACACAGGUAGCCAGUGUGGCCCAGAAUCAAAUCCAAUAGAACAUCAUAAACUCAUCAUUCCUGCCCAUUUUGAUGUUCUCUUUGGUGGCAAUAACUACUGAAGACCCAGAUCAAAUUUCACUAUCAGAUUUCUCAUUUUAAUUUUUAAGAGGCAUUCAAGCAAACAUGGAUGUGAUUGGCUUCAGAUUACAGGUAAUUUCAACUGCUAAAUUGUCUCAGGAUUCUUUUAUUUUUUUUUAAUAUUAC